GAUGAACGCUGGCGGCGUGCCUAAUACAUGCAAGUAGAACGCUGAAGGAGGAGCUUGCUCUUCUGGAUGAGUUGCGAACGGGUGAGUAACGCGUAGGUAACCUGCCUGGUAGCGGGGGAUAACUAUUGGAAACGAUAGCUAAUACCGCAUGACAACAGUUAUUGCAUGAUAACUGUUUAAAAGGGGCAACUGCUCCACUACCAGAUGGACCUGCGUUGUAUUAGCUAGUUGGUGAGGUAACGGCUCACCAAGGCGACGAUACAUAGCCGACCUGAGAGGGUGAUCGGCCACACUGGGACUGAGACACGGCCCAGACUCCUACGGGAGGCAGCAGUAGGGAAUCUUCGGCAAUGGACGGAAGUCUGACCGAGCAACGCCGCGUGAGGGAAGAAGGUUUUCGGAUCGUAAAGCUCUGUUGUAAGAGAAGAACGAGUGUGAGAGUGGAAAGUUCACACUGUGACGGUAUCUUAACAGAAAGGGACGGCUAACUACGUG
rnacentral:rRNA from 1 species